UGCUUCAGUUAUGUCCGACUCUGUGUGAGCCCAGAGACGGCAGCCCACCAGGCUCCCCUGUCCCUGGGAUUCUCCAGGCAAGAACACUGGAGUGGGUUGUCAUUUCCUUCUCCAAUACAUGCAAGUGAAAAAUGAAAGUGAAGUCGCUCAGUUGUGUCCAACUCUUAGCGACCCCAUGGACUGCAGCCCACCAGGCUCCUCCAUCCAUGGGAUUUUCCAGGUGAGAGUACUGGAGUGGGGUGCCAUUGCUUUCUCCAAGAGUAACUCCUGGCCCCUGGUUCCAGUCCCAUUUAGAACUGAAUCAAGAAGCAGUGAAGGUCUGGGGGCUUCCUGAGGGUAAGCCCCCCGACCACCACGACUGGCUUAUAGACAACCACUUGCUAUUACUCUGCUUUCAAAGCUUGAGUGUCCAGUGUUUGCCUCUAAGGGGUUCAAACAUGUUCAGAUAUCUGCUUCACAUGGAAAGCAUUUGGACCAUGGCAGGUUACAUUGGGCUGUCCAGGGCCACAAACAGGAAAGGCUCUCUAAAGGCAUGAAGCAGAGGCUGCUGGAAAAAUUCAGGACCAAACUGGGCCUCUCUCCUUAAAAAGUAUGAGGACUUCCUUGUGCGCUUUUCCUGUCCCUUUCGUGGCUCCAUUUCAUCGUCCAUCCUGUGCU
ensembl:lncRNA